rnacentral:rRNA from 1 species
UACGAAGGGUGCAAACGUUGCUCGGAAUUAUUGGGCGUAAAGCGCACGUAGGCGGCAUUGCAAGUCGGAUGUGAAAUCCCUCGGCUUAACCAAGGAAGUGCAUCCGAAACUGCAGUGCUUGAGUACUUAAGAGGAUCGCGGAAUUCCCGGUGUAGAGGUGAAAUUCGUAGAUAUCGGGAGGAACACCAGUGGCGAAGGCGGCGAUCUGGGAAGAUACUGACGCUGAGGAACGAAAGCGUGGGGAGCGAACAGG